rnacentral:rRNA from 1 species
GAGUUUGAUCAUGGCUCAGGAUGAACGCUGGCGGUGCGCCUGACACAUGCAAGUCGGACGGGAGCGAGAGGCUCCAGUGGCGAACGGGUGCGUAACACGUGAGAACUUGCCCCGAGGAGGGGAACAACCCUCGGAAACGGGGGCUAAUGUCCCGUAAGUCGAGCCCUGAUAAAGACCGGGGCGGGAGCCCAACGGCUCCCGAAACAAAAGGCAGGGGCGCAAGAAACCCGCCCUGCCGCCUCGGGAUAGGCUCGCGGCUGAUUAGCUAGCUGGGAGGGUAACGGCCUACCAGGGCGACGAUCAGUAGCUGGCUUGAGAGAGUGGCCAGCCACACUGGGACUGAGAUACGGCCCAGACUCCUACGGGAGGCAGCAGUGGGGAAUCUUCCGCAAUGGGCGCGAAGCCUGACGGAGCGACACCGCGUGGGGGAAGAAGGACUGGGGUUCGUAAACCCCUUUUCCCGGGGGCGACAGCAGACGGUACCCGGGGAAUAAGCAUCGGCUAACUCCGUGCCAGCAGCCGCGGUAAUACGGGGGAUGCAAGCGUUAUCCGGAAUUAUUGGGCGUAAAGCGCCUGCAGGUGGCCCGCCAAGUCCCCUGUCAAAGGCCGGGGCUUAACCCCGGAAAGGCGGCGGAAACUGUCGGGCUAGAGGGCGGCUGGGGUAGAGGGAACUCCUAGUGAAGCGGUGAAAUGCGCAGAUAUUAGGAAGAACACCGGCGGCGAAGGCGCUCUACUGGGCCGUCGGGCGCUCAGAGCGCCCACGUCGUGCGGGCACGCGGUUCGCCCCGUCGUGCCCGGCGAUCGGCUGACACUCAGAGGCGAAAGCUGGGGGAGCGAGACGGAUUAGGUACCCGUGUAGGCCCAGCCGUAAACGAUGGACAUUGGAAGUCGGACUCCCCCAGGGGCUGGUCGGUUUCGAAGCUAACGCGUUAAAUGUCCCGCCUGGGGAGUACGCCCGCAAGGGUGAAACUCAAAGGAAUUGACGGGGGCCCGCACAAGCGGUGGAGCAUGUGGUUUAAUUCGAUGCGACGCGAAGAACCUUACCAGGGAUUGCAUGUGGUGACCGCUCCCCGGCUCCCGCCACUUUCCCGGCCGAGCCGAGAGAACGGGAAGACGUCCACACAGGUGGUGCAUGGCUGUCGUCAACUCGUGUCGUGAAAUGUUGGGUUGAGUCCCGCAACGAGCGCAACUCUCGUCCUCAGUUACCUCGCGCAGGCCCCGCGCCCCGGCAAGGGGCCCAAGGACGGAGGUUGUGCGAAAACUGCGGAAACCGCUGGCAACAAGCUGGAGGAAGGUGAGGACGACGUCAAGUCAUCAUGCCCCCGAUACCCUGGGCCACACACGUGCUACAUUGGCCGAGACAAUAGGAGGCGGCCGAGAGGCCAGCCAAACCCCAAACCCGGUCCCAGUUCGAAUCGCGGGCUGCAACUCGCCCGCGUGAAGUAGGAAUCGCUAGUAAUCGCUGGUCAGCCACACAGCGGUGAAUACGUUCCCGGGCCUUGUACACACCGCCCGUCACACCAUGGAAGUUGGUCGCACCCGAAAACGGGGUCCCGCAUCCCUCCGCGUAGCGGACGGGGAGGGGCGCCCCGACUAAGGCGGGAAGAGCAACCAGGGUGAAGUCGUAACAAGGUAACC